rnacentral:rRNA from 1 species
AUUGAACGCUGGCGGCAGGCCUAACACAUGCAAGUCGAACGGUAACAGGAAACAGCUUGCUGUUUCGCUGACGAGUGGCGGACGGGUGAGUAAUGUCUGGGAAACUGCCUGAUGGAGGGGGAUAACUACUGGAAGCGGUAGCUAAUACCGCAUAACGUCGCAAGACCAAAGAGGGGGACCCUCGGGCCUCUUGCCAUCGGAUGUGCCCAGAUGGGAUUAGCUUGUUGGUGGGGUAACGGCUCACCAAGGCGACGAUCCCUAGCUGGUCUGAGAGGAUGACCAGCCACACUGGAACUGAGACACGGUCCAGACUCCUACGGGAGGCAGCAGUGGGGAAUAUUGCACAAUGGGCGCAAGCCUGAUGCAGCCAUGCCGCGUGUAUGAAGAAGGCCUUCGGGUUGUAAAGUACUUUCAGCGGGGAGGAAGGGAGUAAAGUUAAUACCUUGGCUCAUUGACGUUACCCGCAGAAGAAGCACCGGCUAACUCCGUG